rnacentral:misc_RNA from 1 species
GCCCUCAAUAACCUCAAAGCAAUUGUACCUCCAUCAGCAAGCUUUGCCUUAUAAACAGUCCCAUAAGUAGUCUUCUCCGUUACUUGCCCUGUUGCAUUCAAAACAUCCUCUAAUGUCAAAUGCUCGCCGCCUUGAAACAAAAUUAGCUUUCCUUCACUGCCUCCAGAACCUCCAUUACCACCAUUUUCAUCAUCUUCUCCUUCCUCUAAUUCAUCUUCACUCUCUUCCCCACUUUUCCUCUUCUUGUUUUGCAUAUAGCCUAUUAAUAAAGAGGCCAAAACUACAACACCAGUCAUUAAUCCAAUCACC